rnacentral:rRNA from 1 species
UACCUGGUUGAUCCUGCCAGUAGUCAUAUGCUUGUCUCAAAGAUGUAAGGCAUGGUUGUGUAAGUAUGAAACUAAUUCCGAGUGGGACA